UGGACUUUUACUGUUGCCGAGUGGACUUUUACUGUUGCCGAGUGGACCUUGAAAACUGUUCUGUCACUUGAAUUUUGGCGUUUUACUACACAAAGAUUGAAGGAAUAAGGUUCCUUCUGCCUGUUUAUAAUGAUUCAGAACAAGAUGAGGACGAUGAUGUGUCCUUCUUUUUCUUUUUUAGCUUUUCUUUUUUCUUUAUUUUUUCUUUCUCCUUUAGCUUUUCUUUUCUUGCUAUAGCUUUUGAUUUUUU
rnacentral:lncRNA from 1 species